rnacentral:rRNA from 1 species
UUGAACGCUGGCGGCAUGCCUUACACAUGCAAGUCGAACGGCAGCACGGGGGCGACCCUGGUGGCGAGUGGCGAACGGGUGAGUAACGCAUCGGAACGUACCCGGAAGUGGGGGAUAACGUAGCGAAAGUUACGCUAAUACCGCAUAUUCUGUGAGCAGGAAAGAGGGGGAUCGCAAGACCUCUCGCUUGCGGAGCGGCCGAUGUCGGAUUAGCUAGUUGGCGGGGUAAAGGCCCACCAAGGCGACGAUCCGUAGCGGGUCUGGGAGGAUGAUCCGCCACACUGGGACUGAGACACGGCCCAGACUCCUACGGGAGGCAGCAGUGGGGAAUUUUGGACAAUGGGCGCAAGCCUGAUCCAGCCAUGCCGCGUGAGUGAAGAAGGCCUUCGGGUUGUAAAGCUCUUUCGGCAGGAACGAAACGGUGGAGGCUAAUACCUUUCAUCAAUGACGGUACCUGAAGAAGAAGCACCGGCUAACUACGU